GUCGACGAUUUGGCGGACGGGUGAGUAACGCGUGAGGAGCUGUCUUAUGCAGGGGGACAACAGUUGGAAACGGCUGCUAAUACCCCAUAAGCCGAGAGGUAAAAGGAGCAAUCCGGCAGAGGAGGUACUCGCGUCCUAUCAGCUAGUAGGUUGGGUAACGGCCGACCUAGGCGAAGACGGGUAGCCGGCCUGAGAGGGCGAACGGCCACACUGGAACUGAGAUACGGUCCAGACUCCUACGGGAGGCAGCAGUGGGGAAUAUUGGGCAAUGGGGGCAACCCUGACCCAGCGACGCCGCGUGGGUGAAGAAAUCCUUCGGGAUGUAAAGCCCUGUUGUAUGGGAAGAGCAGAAGACGGUACCAUACGAGGAAGCCCCGGCAAACUACGUGCCAGCAGCCGCGGUAAUAAUCUCUAGA
rnacentral:rRNA from 1 species